UACAGAGGUCUCAAGCGUUGUUCGGAUUCAUUGGGCGUAAAGGGUGCGUAGGUGGCGCGGUAAGUCGGGUGUGAAAUUUCGGAGCUUAACUCCGAAACUGCAUUCGAUACUGCCGUGCUUGAGGACUGGAGAGGAGACUGGAAUUUACGGUGUAGCAGUGAAAUGCGUAGAUAUCGGGAAGAACAUCGGUGGCGAAAGCGCUCUGCUGGACUGCAACUGACACUCAGGGACGAAAGCUAGGGGAGCGAAUGGG
rnacentral:rRNA from 1 species